AACGAACGCUGGCGGCAUGCCUAACACAUGCAAGUCGAACGAGACCUUCGGGUCUAGUGGCGCACGGGUGCGUAACGCGUGGGAACCUGCCCUUAGGUUCGGAAUAACUCCCCGAAAGGGGUGCUAAUACCGGAUAAUGUCUUCGGACCAAAGAUUUAUCGCCUUUGGAUGGGCCCGAGUUGGAUUAGCUAGUUGGUAGGGUAAAAGCCUACCAAGGCGACGAUCCAUAGCUGGUCUGAGAGGAUGAUCAGCCACACUGGUAGUGAGACACGGCCCAGACUCCUACGGGAGGCAGCAGUGGGGAAUAUUGGACAAUGGGCGAAAGCCUGAUCCAGCAAUGCCGGGUGAGUGAUGAAGGCCUUAGGGUUGUAAAGCUCUUUUACCCGUGAUGAUAAUGACAGUACCGGGAGAAUAAGCUCCGGCUAACUCCGUG
rnacentral:rRNA from 1 species